rnacentral:lncRNA from 1 species
AUGAUUUGCAAGCACCACUGACAGAACACCAAACCCUUGAUGUCCUUUUCCAGGUCCCAGUUUGGGAGACCCAACGCCCUCCUUCGUCCGAGCAAUAAUGUCUCUGACACGAAGAGCAGCCAAUGGAUCUUUCUCUUUCCCCUUAUCAGCCAAUGCUGUUGGGCUGAGGUUCAAGAUGAGGAAGAGACUGUUUAGCAAACACCAGGCCCCAAGCAGCUGGAAGUUCUGAUAGUG